rnacentral:rRNA from 1 species
UUAAGUUAAUAAGGGCGCACGGUGGAUGCCUUGGCACUAGGAGCCGACGAAGGACGUGACAAACGACGAUAUGCCUUGGGUAGCUGUAAGUAAGCGAUGAUCCAUGGAUUUCCGAAUGGGGGAACCCAACAGGUAAUACCUGUUACCCACAUCUGUUAAGGAUGUGAGGAGGAAGACGCAGUGAACUGAAACAUCUAAGUAGCUGCAGGAAGAGAAAGCAAAAGCGAUUGCCUUAGUAGCGGCGAGCGAAACGGCAGAAGGGCAAACCGAAGAGUUUACUCUUCGGGGUUGUAGGACUGCAAUGUGGACUCAAAGAUUAUAGAAGAAUGAUUUGGGAAGAUCAGCCAAAGAGAGUAAUAGCCUCGUAUUUAAAAUAGUCUUUGUACCUAGCAGUAUCCUGAGUACGGCGGGACACGUGAAAUCCCGUCGGAAUCUGGGAGGACCAUCUCCCAACCCUAAAUACUCCCUAGUGACCGAUAGUGAACCAGUACCGUGAGGGAAAGGUGAAAAGCACCCCGGGAGGGGAGUGAAAUAGAACCUGAAACCGUGUGCCUACAACAAGUUCGAGCCCGUUAAUGGGUGAGAGCGUGCCUUUUGUAGAAUGAACCGGCGAGUUACGUUAUGAUGCGAGGUUAAGUUGAAGAGACGGAGCCGUAGGGAAACCGAGUCUGAAUAGGGCGCCUUAGUAUCAUGACGUAGACCCGAAACCAUGUGACCUACCCAUGAGCAGGUUGAAGGUGCGGUAAGACGCACUGGAGGACCGAACCAGGGCACGUUGAAAAGUGCUUGGAUGACUUGUGGGUAGCGGAGAAAUUCCAAACGAACUUGGAGAUAGCUGGUUCUCUCCGAAAUAGCUUUAGGGCUAGCGUCGACAUUAGAGAUUCUUGGAGGUAGAGCACUGUUUGGGUGAGGGGUCCAUCCCGGAUUACCAAUCUCAGAUAAACUCCGAAUGCCAAUGAAUUAUGGUCGGCAGUCAGACUGCGAGUGCUAAGAUCCGUAGUCGAAAGGGAAACAGCCCAGACCACCAGCUAAGGUCCCAAAAUAAUUGUUAAGUGGAAAAGGAUGUGGGGUUGCACAGACAACUAGGAUGUUAGCUUAGAAGCAGCUAUUCAUUCAAAGAGUGCGUAAUAGCUCACUAGUCGAGUGACCCUGCGCCGAAAAUGUACCGGGGCUAAAACAAUUUACCGAAGCUGUGGAUACCUUUAUAGGUAUGGUAGGAGAGCGUUCUAUGUGUGAUGAAGGUAUACCGUGAGGAGUGCUGGAACGCAUAGAAGUGAGAAUGCCGGUAUGAGUAGCGAAAGACAGGUGAGAAUCCUGUCCACCGUAAGACUAAGGUUUCCAGGGGAAGGCUCGUCCGCCCUGGGUUAGUCGGGACCUAAGGAGAGACCGAAAGGUGUAUCCGAUGGACAACAGGUUGAUAUUCCUGUACUAGAGUAUGUAGUGAUGGAGGGACGCAGUAGGCUAACUAAAGCAGACGAUUGGAAGAGUCUGUCUAAGCAGUGAGGUGUGAAUUGAGUCAAAUGCUUAAUUCUAUAACAUUGAGCUGUGAUGGGGAGCGAAGUUUAGUAGCGAAGUUAGUGACGUCACACUGCCAAGAAAAGCUUCUAGCGUUUAAACAUACUCUACCCGUACCGCAAACCGACACAGGUAGUCGAGGCGAGUAGCCUCAGGUGAGCGAGAGAACUCUCGUUAAGGAACUCGGCAAAAUGACCCCGUAACUUCGGGAGAAGGGGUGCUGACUUUAAGUCAGCCGCAGUGAAUAGGCCCAAGCAACUGUUUAUCAAAAACACAGCUCUCUGCUAAAUCGUAAGAUGAUGUAUAGGGGGUGACGCCUGCCCGGUGCUGGAAGGUUAAGAGGAGUGCUUAGCGUAAGCGAAGGUAUGAAUUGAAGCNUGUUUCACGUGAAACAUCCAUACACAUUCGUCAUCGAAAAACAGGAGAUGUUUUGAUUCAAAAUGGGCAUAGAAAAAAACUCAGACGUUUAUUUAUUGAUUUGAAAAUCCCUAUGGAAAAGAGAAACUCUGCUCUUAUUAUUGAGCAAUUUGGUGAAAUUGUCUCAAUUUUGGGAAUUGCGACCAAUAAUUUGAGUAAAAAAACGAAAAAUGAUAUAAUGAACACUGUACUUUAUAUAGAAAAAAUAGAUAGGUAAAAAAUGUUAGAAAACGAUAUUAAAAAAGUCCUCGUUUCACACGAUGAAAUUACAGAAGCAGCUAAAAAACUAGGUGCUCAAUUAACUAAAGACUAUGCAGGAAAAAAUCCAAUCUUAGUUGGGAUUUUAAAAGGAUCUAUUCCUUUUAUGGCUGAAUUGGUCAAACAUAUUGAUACACAUAUUGAAAUGGACUUCAUGAUGGUUUCUAGCUACCAUGGUGGAACAGCAAGUAGUGGUGUUAUCAAUAUUAAACAAGAUGUGACUCAAGAUAUCAAAGGAAGACAUGUUCUAUUUGUAGAAGAUAUCAUUGAUACAGGUCAAACUUUGAAGAAUUUGCGAGAUAUGUUUAAAGCAAGAGAAGCAGCUUCUGUUAAAAUUGCAACCUUGUUGGAUAAACCAGAAGGACGUGUUGUAGAAAUUGAGGCAGACUAUACCUGCUUUACUAUCCCAAAUGAGUUUGUAGUAGGUUAUGGUUUAGACUACAAAGAAAAUUAUCGUAAUCUUCCUUAUAUUGGAGUAUUGAAAGAGGAAGUGUAUUCAAAUUAGAAAGAAUAAUCUUUAAUGAAAAAACAAAAU